rnacentral:rRNA from 1 species
GACGUAGGGCGCGAGCGUUGUCCGGAUUUAUUGGGCGUAAAGAGCUCGUAGGCGGUGUGUCGCGUCGGCCGUGAAAACCUGCAGCUUAACUGUGGGCUUGCGGUCGAUACGGGCAUCACUGGAGUUCGGCAGGGGAGACUGGAAUUCCUGGUGUAGCGGUGAAAUGCGCAGAUAUCAGGAGGUACACCGGUGGCGAAGGCGGGUCUCUGGGCCGAUACUGACGCUGAGGAGCGAAAGCGUGGGGAGCGAACAGG